rnacentral:lncRNA from 1 species
UGAAACUCAAGGAUUUACACAAGUUAUUGACACAAAAUAUGCAUUUGAGGACACUAAAUCUAUCAAAAUAAAGCCCUAAAAAAGUCCAAAUCGUGGACUCAUCAAUUAGCUAUUUAACUUUUCUUAUAUUUAUAUUAAUUUAAAAUAAUUAGUUAAUAUUUUAAAUUAUUAUAUUUUAUAUUUAUAUAUACCUACACAUUACCCCCACUACCCCACUUCCUUUUCUGCCCCACUUUCCAUGUCCCAGAACUCCAUUCACCACCC